CAAUAGCGUAUAUUAAAGUUGUUGCAGUUAAAAAGCUCGUAGUUGGACUUCUGCGGGUGGCGGCCGGUCGUGCUCGAAACGGGCGUGAACUUGGCGUGCUGCCCGCAUCUUUGGGGAGAUUGUGCGUGGCAUUAAGUUGUCGUGCAUGGGAUUCUCAUCAUUUACUGUGAAAAAAUUAGAGUGUUUAAAGCAGGCCUUUGCCUUGAAUACAUUAGCAUGGAAUAAUAAGAUAUGACCGUUGUCUAUUUUGUUGGUUUACAGAUGUCGGUAAUGAUUAAUAGGGAUAGUUGGGGGUAUUCGUAUUCAGUUGUCAGAGGUGAAAUUCUUGGAUUUUCGGAAGACGCACGACUGCGAAAGCAUUUACCAAGGAUGUUUUCAUUAA
rnacentral:rRNA from 1 species